rnacentral:rRNA from 1 species
UAGUUUAAGGAAAUAAUCUUAAAUGUAUUCUGCCCAAUGAUUUUUAAAUGGCCGCAGUACCUUGACUGUGCUAAGGUAGCAUAAUCAAUUGGCUUCUAAUUAAAGUCUGGAAUGAAAGGAAAAAUGAAGUAAUUCUAUCUUAAAAAAUUUUUUUUUAAUUUAUUUAAAUGAUGAAAAUAUCAUUUUUUUUAGAAAAAAGACGAGAAGACCCUUAGAGUUUUUAUUAUUUUUUUUGUUGGGGCGACAAGUAAACAAUUAAACUUUACUAAUUUUUUUAAUCGAUUUAAUAAUAAGAUUAAUUAAACUACCUUAGGGAUAACAGCAUUAUAUUUUUAUAUGAUUGUGACCUCGAUGUUGGACUAGGAACUUUAUGGCUAGCCGUCAUAAAAGAUUUGUUCUGUUCGAACAAUUUAUCCUAC